rnacentral:rRNA from 1 species
AGUGAACGCUGGCGGUAGGCCUAACACAUGCAAGUCGAACGGCAGCACAGUAAGAGCUUGCUCUUACGGGUGGCGAGUGGCGGACGGGUGAGGAAUACAUCGGAAUCCUCUUUUUCGUGGGGGAUAACGUAGGGAAACUUACGCUAACACCGCAUAUGACCUACGGGUGAAAGCAGGGGAUCUUCGGACCUUUCGCGAUUGAAUGAGCCGAUGUCGGAUUAGCUAGUUGGCGAGGUAAAGGCCCACCAAGGCGACGAUCCGUAGCUGGUCUGAGAGGAUGAUCAGCCACACUGUAACUGAGACACGGUCCAGACUCCUACGGGAGGCAGCAGUGGGGAAUAUUGGGCAAUGGGCGAAAGCCUGAUCCAGCAAUACCGCGUGAGUGAUGAAGGCCUUCGGGUUGUAAAGCCCUUUUGUUGGGAAAGAAAAGCAGCAGGUUAAUACCCCGCUGUUCUGACGGUACCCAAAGAAUAAGCACCGGCUAACUUCGUG